rnacentral:rRNA from 1 species
GGUUUCCGUUAGUGAACCUGCGGAAGGAUCAUUACCAAUAUGAAAGCGGAUGGGGAAUCACAGGAACAUGGGCUCCGGCUUGCGUUUUCUGCCCCAUCUUGCUGAAUUAUUCACCCAUGUCUUUUGCGUACUAUUUGUUUCCUUGGUGGGCUUGCCUGCCAAUAGGACAAAAUUAAACCUUUUGUAAUUGCAAUCAGCGUCAGAAAACUUUAAUAGUUACAACUUUCAACAACGGAUCUCUUGGUUCUGGCAUCGAUGAAGAACGCAGCGAAAUGCGAUAAGUAGUGUGAAUUGCAGAAUUCAGUGAAUCAUCGAAUCUUUGAACGCACAUUGCGCCCCUUGGUAUUCCAUGGGGCAUGCCUGUUCGAGCGUCAUUUGUACCCUCAAGCUUUGCUUGGUGUUGGGCGUCUUGUCCUCUUCUGGAGGACUCGCCUUAAAACAAUUGGCAGCCGGCAUAUUGGUAUCGGAGCGCAGCACAAGUCGCACUCCUUUCCAUGAAUGUUGGCGUCCAUCAAGACUAUUUUUUCACUCUUGACCUCGGAUCAGGUAGGGAUACCCGCUGAACUUAAGCAU